UACGUAGGUGGCGAGCGUUGUCCGGAUUUACUGGGCGUAAAGAGCGCGCAGGCGGUCGUAUAAGUCGCGUGUGAAAGCCCCCGGCUCAACUGGGGAGGGUCACGCGAUACUGUUCGACUCGAAGGCAGGAGAGGGAAGUGGAAUUCCCGGUGUAGUGGUGAAAUGCGUAGAUAUCGAGAGGAACACCGGCGGCGAAGGCGGCCAACUGGACGAACACUGACGCUGAGACACGAAAGCGUGGGGAGCAAACAGG
rnacentral:rRNA from 1 species